AGUCUGGCCUGCCCAUUGGGAACUAAAAGCCCGCGGUAUUUUGCCCGUGCGAAGGUAGCAUAAUCAUUAGUCUUUUAAUUGAAGGCUUGUAUGAAGGGUUAGACGAGAAAUUAGCUGUCUUUAUUGAAAAAAUGGAAUUUAACUUUUAAGUGAGAGGGCUUAAAUGUUCUAAAGGGACGAUAAGACCCUAUAAAGUUUGAUAUUAAAUUUUUUAAAAAAUAAGAUAAAUAGAUAAAGUUAGUUAAAAAAAAGAUGUUUUGUUGGGGCGACAAGAAUAUAAGUUAUAUAACUGUUUUUAUGUUAAUACAAUAAUAAUUGAAUUAGUGAACCUUUAUAAAGGUAACAGAGUAAAUUACUUUAGGGAUAACAGCGUAAUUUUUUUUGAGAGUUCUUAUCGACAAAAAAGUUUGCGACCUCGAUGUUGAAUUAAAGGUUCUUUGUAAUGUAGGAGUUACAGGAGAGGGUCUGUUCGACCUUUAAAUCUUUACAU
rnacentral:rRNA from 1 species